AACUGGCACAGCAGGAUCAGGAGUAAAAGCAUGCCCGGCUGGUUUCUCUGAUUUAACAUCCUCAGGAUACGAGACAACAGACUGAGAAAUAUGCAGACAAAAUUCUUGGACAUUUGCAGGAGAUAGUGCUAAUCUUUUAAUAAAAGAUCCCAUUACAAUGGGAUCUGUCUGGACAGACUAUAAUAGAUCCAGAAAUACAGCCGUGCUAAUAUUAGAAGACAGUUGUUUGGGUGCCUCUCAGACGGGCCGAAGUCCUGCUUUGAAAGUGGGCAUGAAUCACAAAGACCCGCGGCCGCCGCACCUGCACUCGGGCCCAUUCAGUGCAACAGACUGGACUUUUAUUUCCUAAUGGUAAUAGAAAAUUCAGCUUCCUUUUUCUGAUUAACAAUCCAAGUGCAGCAAUGGAAUACGAAAUCCUGGAGGGACACGCAAGGGAUCUGAGAAGGAAGGGUGUUUUUUUCCCCCUCCAGUGAAUUUGGGGGUGGGGAAUACAGUAAUUGAAAAGACUAGAGAGAGAACAUGGUAUAACCAGAAAAGAACUGUUUGUGAAAUCCAGAAAACCUGUGCUUAAUGGAACUCUGAUGCAUACAAGCCAUGUGAUCCCGGGCAAGCCACUAAACAACUCAGUGCUUCAGCAACUCUCUACAACUUUAAAUUAUACAGCAGGAAUCAAUAUGUAUUAGUAGAGGGAAUUUCCUUAUCUUUAGACUCCUUUACCCAUUAAAUCAUAGUUCUGUAACCAAAAAAAAAUCAUUUUCAACUACUGAAUGGUCAAUGGGAUUGCCACAAGUUAAGUCUUGGUUGCGUUAUUUUGGCAUUUCCUGCGUCAACAUGUUUGUCUCUAUAAAUGCUUCAGAAUAUACACAUACAUUAACUGAAAAACUUUUAAUUUGAUCCUAUUACUGAAAUAUAACAACAGCCUUCUGCUGUGGCUUUAUCAUAUCAAAACUACCAGUUGGAAAAUAAAUGAAU